CCUCAGGCUCCGGGAGCCCGUGGGGUCCCGGCUCUGCGUCCCCGCCCCCUCGGUCCCGCGGGGCCUGGCUCUGCCCGGUCUUUGACUUUGCCGCCGGGGCAGCUUCCCCGGACGCAGCCUCCGCGCUGCCGGGCCGCGAGGCUCCCUCCUCUAAUCCCUAAUCCCCCACUUGGCAGCGCCUCUUCCCGAAGUUUCCUGCCUGUGUCCACAGACGCGACGCCCCCUCGAGCCCCGAACGUAGCUCCAGGAAAUAGAACUGGCAGAAAGAAUAGAUGGAGAACUUUCACUGAACCUUCACUACAAGAGAGGCAGUAGUUUGACGUAGAGGUUAAGCGUGAACUGUGGAGCCAGACUGCCUGGAUUCCAACCCAGCUUCUCCACCUAACUUGCUAUCUUGGCCGUUUGUUUCUGGAGGGCCAAUGAUGCCGACAGCCGUGCAAUGUGCCAGUAUUCCCAGACCGUGCUGGAGCAUCAUGGCGGAGCAUUCCAGUCCUCAGCCUGCUCCUAUGAAGAGGGAAGGAUGGACCCAGCCAUUGAUGCAACCAUGGCUUACUCCGUGGAAACCAAGACAAAGAAAAGACAAAGGAGAAAGAAACAGAAAGCUUGCGGGGAGGUCAAGGUAAAAGUGAGAAGGAGAAUCUUGUUCCACAGUUUGGAGCCUCCUGCCAGUGCGAUCCAGCUGCCUGGCGAGUCCCUCCUGCCUCUGCUGACCGUCAGAUUUCUCUCAUCCUUCCUGUGGUCCCAGGUGAUGAUCUACUAUGAUUUUUACUGCUGCUGCUACUGCUGUUACCACCGCUAGCUACCAUCUCCUGAACGCUUACUUUGAGCUAGGUUCUGUGCU